CAGGCUGCAUUCACACUGCAACCUCAAGUGACCCAAUUCCGACUUAUUUGUCAAAUCGGCUUUUUUUUUCUUUUUUGGCGUGGUCGUUCACACUACCAAAUAUAUGGGACCUGAAAAUGUCCCGCAUGCCCAGUAGAGUGCGCAAUAACGUCACACAUAGAGAGAGUGCUCGGGGUUUUGCCAACCGCCAUAAAGAAGAAGUAGUGCUCAGUGUUUGCGGAAGUAAACCUGGACGCUAACGGUGAAGUUGUUGUCCGGCCGGAGCCAGCAUAUUAACAACUUCAUCCUCAUCUUUCGCCAUAGCUGUUGUUUUUCUUCCCGCUUGGGCGUAUGACGGUGCAAAAUUAUGACAUUUGUCGAGUAUCGGUGACGUUCAGGUCGGUUGGAUGGGACCUGAACUUUAGGCCCCAUUUGAAUCAGAUAAAUAUCGGAUACCCAAGUGGCCUGGGUCGCAUUCGAAGAAAAUCUGACCUGUGUUGUUCAGAGUGUUGUAAAAAGAUCAGACACAGAAAAAGAUCUUGCCUGAACGGUUCCUGACGCCGUCUUCCUGGUCCAUCAUCUGCUCCAGCACCGUCUGGUCAUCAGCGUUGAGCGGCGCCACCGAGAUGUCCCGCACCGCUCGAAACUCGCCGCAGUUAUUCAGGUGCUCGUUCUCGAGACGGAAGAAGUUCCACACGAAGCGCCUUUUAGGAAGAUCUAAAUGUGGACUCUGACUCACACGAAUCUGACAGCGAGGAAACACUUAAACCUGCCGGCUGUGAUCAGGAUAGCAGCAAAGGUGACACGAGACUCCGGGACAUCUGCCAGAUAAUGACUGGCAUCUGAGGCACCUUUUACAGCUGAACCCGGUGGUGAGAACAUGACACUGAGCGGCCGUCGGCUCCACCGGCGCUGCAGAGUAAUGCAGGAAGACUCGGCGCCAGUUUAGAGGAAGCGUUUUUAAAUCAAAUCUAAGUAUAGAUGCAGAAUAUUUUGAUACUGCUGCUUGAGUUGAUCCCUUCAACAAGCUUUAAAAUCUGGAGGAGCUGCUGCUGCACAUGAUUCUUAAAAUAUCUCAACAACAGGCGAUUUCCUUAACCAUCAUCAUCCAUGUGAGAUUCCAACCUCCUCCUCUACUUAACCAACGCUCGGCCUCAGUCUCCAUUACAUGCAGGAUGAAAGACGGCUUCACAGAGAAUAACACAUGAAGAGAGGCCAUUAAUGGAAGAGCGCACAGGCUUCAGACCGGAGGAGGAAGAAGGAUAUGGUUUAAUGGACGUCUUUCCGACGGAGCAGUGGGUUUAAAAAGAAAAAAAAAAAAGAGGGAUUUGUCUGCCUCAGUCUCUCAGCUUGGGUUCAUUCAAUACAACCGGCGGUCAGCAUGAGAAGCAAAUUUUAUUGAUUCAAGUUUUUACCGCAAAGGAAUAAAGUCAGAGCGAGACAUAGCAUUUAGCAUUUUGAAAGGCAGCAGAUUAGGUUCCACAGCUGGCAUUUUGCAGAAAAAUAAAUCUGUUUGCAGGGAAAAUGCCAGAGAUUAAAUACGUGUCAGGUGAAAUGAUUGCUUUGAAAGUGGGAGAGGGGACAAAUUUCCAAGCCUAUGAUGGAGACUGACCUAAUAAUUAUGAUUUUUUUUUUCUCUUUUGAAAACAAGCUCCUCUGUGGCAUGUUUUACCAAUCAGAAUAAUGUCAGGCUAAUUGUAAAGCUGUCAGCCAGAGAGUGACCGGACUGUUAAUACAACUUUUUCUUCAUGUUUUUUAUGCUUCUGCCAAAAAAUUUUGAAAUGCAAUGUUUCUCAUUUGAUCCUCUAUUUAUUGUCCAAAGUACAUUUCUGGUCUCUCUAACCUCUUGCCCUGACAGUGAAACCACAUUGUGAGAGCAGAAUCUUGUUUAUCUGCAGCUCGGCUUGACAAACCUCUCCUGUUGCAUUAUAAAGCUCUGGGCACAGAGUAGGAAACCGAUGCCGGCUUCCAGCAAUUGCACUCAAGGUCACCUCUGCUUCCCGAGCACACACACACACAUACACACACGCACACCCACUCACACACAAAAGACUCAGAGACUUGCUUUUUGACAUGCCCCUCUAACACAGCAACACAUCAGUCCUGCUGAUUUAAAGCUUCAGAAAGUCUUACAUCUCUCUUCAAUGUGUCUGCAAUGAUUCAAAAUGGGAAUUUACAGCAACCAGUGUGUUUGGGAACCGAUGUGUUAUCAUCUUUGCUCAGCACAAAUCAAAUCGAGUACGGGAAGAGAUGAGUCAUAAAACGGACAUCUCCCUGCC